rnacentral:rRNA from 1 species
AUACGGAGGGUGCAAGCGUUGUCCGGAUUUAUUGGGUUUAAAGGGUGCGUAGGUGGUUUUUUAAGUCAGUGGUGAAAGCCUACAGCUUAACUGUAGAGGUGCCAUUGAUACUGGGGAACUUGAGUAUGGACGAGGUAGGCGGAAUUUGUGGUGUAGCGGUGAAAUGCAUAGAUACCACAAGGAACACCGAUAGCGAAGGCAGCUUACUGGGCCAUACCUGACACUGAGGCACGAAAGCGUGGGGAGCGAACAGGAUUAGAUACCCUAGUAGUCC